rnacentral:tRNA from 1 species
GCGGAAGUGGCGGAAUUGGUAGACGCGCUAGGUUCAGGGUCUAGUGGCUAACGAGCUGUGGGAGUUCGAGUCUCCCCUUCCGCA